GGUUGUGGCUCAGUGGUACAGCGCUUGCUUAGCAUGUGUGAGGCACUGGGUUCGAUCCCCAGAACCA
rnacentral:tRNA from 1 species